rnacentral:rRNA from 1 species
GAGUCAUUGGGUCGUUGUGUAAAAAGCAAAUUCGCUACGAAACCUAAAGGCGUAAUGAAAGUGAAGAUCGACCUUCCAGAGUCGAUCGAGGGAGGAUGGCUUCGGGUUCGCCCGGGCCCGCACUCCCGGGGCGUCUCACGGUCUUCGAGACCAGAGGCGCACCCAGAGCGUACACGUUGGGACCCGAAAGAUGGUGAACUAUGCCUGGUCAGGACGAAGUCAGGGGAAACCCUGAUGGAGGUCCGUAGCGAUUCUGACGUGCAAAUCGAUCGUCGGAACUGGGUAUAGGGGCGAAAGACUAAUCGAACCAUCUAGUAGCUGGUUCCCUCCGAAGUUUCCCUCAGGAUAGCUGGCACUCGCUCGAACGCUAACGAGUCUCAUCUGGUAAAGCGAAUGAUUAGAGGCCUUGGGGCCGAAACGACCUCAACCUAUUCUCAAACUUUAAAUGGGUGAGAUCUCUGGCUUGCUUGAACGGUGAAGCCACGAGAAGCACAAACGCAUGUGUGGAUCAGAGUGCCAAGUGGGCCAAUUUUGGUAAGCAGAACUGGCGCUGUGGGA